CUUCAGCACGAAAUGCAAAUUUUCACGAUUCUAACGUAUUUGAUGUGGUAUUGAGAUAACAAACGCGCUAGUCUCCAAAGUCGAGCGCUAACCGUGCGCUUACGCAGCUCUUUAUGCAGCUUUUAACAGCCUUAUUUAGUUGGAUCGCUUACACGUAAUAGUCUAAUUAGAAUAAUUGUUCAAUAUAAUUUAGCCGAGCUUCCAGCGCCUUCUUUGAAAAAAUUAACCCUCUUUAAAAUAUAUAACUUUAACCUACUUGCGCGAAAUAAAAGUGGCCGGUGGUCUUUCUAAAAGCAAUUACUGGAAGCAAUUUGCUCGUACUUUCAGGGCGUACUGUAAAUUAGCCGCGGCAAGAGUGUACCGGCGUCGCAUGUGACGUGCACGGUACACGUAAUUUCCUCGUCGAUUAUGUUCCAGCGGCAUAACAGCGCUUCUGUCAGUUUCCUGCCGGCGCAGCGUACACGGUAGGUACGAGAGACCACUCGUGCGGGCCGGUCGAGAGAAGAAGGGCUCCGGAAGCCCCGUGGAAAAGGACCGGAAGUAUCCUCGAGGCGGGAAGAGACCAGACCUACGACAUUGCUCAAAGGACCAUUCCCUUCCUCCCUCCCUUCUCAAGCUCGUUACCGCCGAACCGUGUCCUGAAGUAUAGCACCACAAAGCGAAGUACAACUCUCGACCACACGCGGUCCGCUCGACAAGCACGUCCAUACAGAGCCGGUCGCCCCCUCCCCCCUCCCCUCAGCCCCAGAGCACCCCCUGUGUGUCAUCAAACAUCAACGACGUCGACAAUCACGACGACAUCGACGACGGUCAACAACAGCGACCACCGACCAACGACUCCCACGCCAAAUCUCAUCGACCUUUCCAAGUUCAUAGGAAGCGCGGCGCACGUUCUACGAACGGCGUGUAAAGAAAAAGGUCGAUUCGAAAGGUGAAGAGAGAAAGAGAAAGAGAGAGAGAGAGGGCGAAACCGCAUUUAUCGAUACUACCGGAUCCAACGAUCCCUCCCCAAAGAGCGUACAACGACUUUGGUAUAUACACACAGAGAGCUCCGGGGGCAUUGAGUCAGGAUUAAAAGAAACGGCGUAUACGGCGCUCGCGUAUGAAAGCAGACGAAGGGUGAGAUAAAGAGAAAGAAAAAGAGAGGCAAGGAAGAACGAGAAAGAGAGAGAGAGAGAAAGAGAGAGAUAACGCGCGGAGAGACGGCAACGGGGACGGAGGAAAAAGGCACACUGCCUCCUGUACGCGGCGGCUGGCCUCUCGUCGUCGCGCCUGCGCUUCCCGUCGGAAAGCUCCGGCUCGUUCUCUCGGUCCUCGUCGGUCGUAACCGUGAUCCUCCGUUCCGCCGGUGUCGCCCACCUCGAGCUCAGUGAGCCGGUGUGUGAGCGCCGCGACGCCUAGAACAGCACCUAUCGUCGCCGGAGUUUUCGUUGUCGUCAUCGUCGUCAUUGUCGUCAUCGUCAUCAUCCUCGUCGUCGUCGUCCUCGUUUCCGUCGGCGUGAAUUUGACGACGGUUUCACGUAUCCCCUCGUCCUUGUCAUCAUCGUCGUCGUCGUCGUCGUCGUCGUCGUCGUCGUCGUUGUCGUCGUCGUCGUCAUCAUCGUUGUUGUGGUCGUUGUCGAUCGAGCGCCGUCUAUCCUCGUCCUCGUCGUUGUCGUCAUCGUCAUCGCCCUAUCGUCUCGUCAUCUCGCUGCUCGCAGUGGUGCUGGCGCUAUUCGGGAGGCACGCGACUACCCUGAGCGGUUUCCGUGAGCAAGUCGCAGUCGUCGCGAGAAGAGAGAGACGGACGAGUGCAGUACUACUACCUCGUUCCUCCCCUCUUUCUCCUCCACGUCCUCCUGCUCUUGCUCCAUCUGUCUCCUCUGCACCUUCGUUUCUCUUUCUCCUCCCACUUUCCCUCUUCGUCCCCUCCCCCCUCUCUCUCUUUCUCUGUAUAUGCAUGCUCUCGCCCUCUGCUGUACCCCUUGCCGCCGCCACCGUUGCCAACGUCGUCGUCGCCGAUCUCAUCGCUCUCUCUCGUUCCCACGAUCACGCUCGCCCUUCGCACAACGACGCUACGCCACCACCGCCGCCACCGCCGCCGCCGCUGCCACCGCCGCCGCCGCUCACCGUACCGUGCACCGUGCUCGGCCACCACCGUACCGCUCGUCGCCGUCUUCUCCUCGUCGCUUUCGGCUCACGUGCUACGACGUUACACGGACCCACGACAGCGCAUCUACGAGACAGCAUCUCUCGAUUUCACGUUCCGCGAGUUCUUCCAUCAUCGUCGUCCGUCACCCCGAGAACCAUCAUCUCUCCUCUUUCGACGCCGAGAGACGACAAUCGCGCAGCAGCAAGGGCGAGUGCAACGGCGAGCGAGAGCGCGAAGGAUAGAGAGGAGGAGUGAGUCCGAAAGAGCGAGAGAGAAGGGAGGAGAUACGCGACGCACAGAAGAGGACGAAGGAUGGUGUAGACGCCGUGGCGUCUUGUCCGUCGUGCCCGCGGGACCUCCGACGUGGACAUUCGUGUAAGAAAAUGUACUCGCGUGACGGUCCUUAAACCUCGCCUCAGGCGUGCAUUCUCGUGAGAGAGAGAGAGAGAGAGAGUGUGUGUGUGUCAGAGAAAGAGAGAGAGAGAGAGAGAGAGAGAGAGAGAGAGAGAGAGAGAGAGAGAGAGAGCCGGAGCGCCUGUUACCGGCAGGGAGGGCGUUAGAGCGAGAGCGCGGGAAAACGGGAGAGUGUGAGAGAGAGAGGGAGAGAGAGUGCAAACGGAGAGAGAUAGAGGGAUGGUUAGGAGGAAAACGUACGACAGAGAAGAUAAUGAUGCUCGAACGUGAUGCUAUGCACGUCCGCGAGGGUUGUUCCGAACGACGACGGUAAACCGAAUGAUCAUUUGAUUCCUUUUGGAUUGCGUGAUAUACGUAUAACGCGCGGUGCCACGUCCCGCGGUGCGUGUCGCUGCGAGCGCGCCUUGUGCGGACCCUGUGUGACGGCGGUGAUCAACGACGCGUUGUCGGCGGCCAACGGCAACCCCGACGAGGGUAUGUCGAGUCGACAACACACGCGCUGGUCCCGUCCCGUCUCGUCACGGCCCGCUCGUACUUGCGACUCACAAGUCUUGUUCAAUGUUCUGCAUAAUCGUUCUUACGUACUCGUCACACGCUUGCACGCAAUUUACUGUUGGUGUAUAUUUGCUAUUUGAGAUGAUCGAUGUAUGCACGUUGGUGGUGUUGUUGUCCGGCGCCGAUUUGAUAUCAAUUGAUAACACGAUAAUGACCCAUGCUCAUGCGUUGCCGAUUGAUUGCCGUUUAAAUUAAGAAAGAUCCAAGUUUACAUGCCGAGAAAGCAAAGAGACAGAUCAAAAUUCAAAUUUUUAACUAAAAGUUCAAUUUUGUAUUUAUCUUCUAUCAAUUUUUUUUUUUCUAUUUUCGGGUACUUGGAUCUUUUCUAAUUUACAGUAUUCAUUUGGCGCCGCGUUCACCGUUGAAUGUUGUCGUUCAGUUCCAAGUUUUAUGUAUAAUACGAAGAUCAUAUUCGAUGUGUAACGUCGUGGGAUGAGCAUCAGAUAGAUUUAACGUUAAAUGUGCGAUGUGAAUACGAAUUGAUGAUGUAACUCUGAAAUCCCCGAUGUAUCCUUGCAAUAUGAAUGCAUGUAUCUGUAUGGAUAGCUUUCAUAUGAAAGGAAUCAAGUGCCUUUAUGUUAAAACCGAGAAAUAGUCUCUUAGACUUGUCUCUAGAGAAAACAAUAUUUUGUACUAUAAGAACGAUUUAUAUGGUAGCAGUGCACGCUUCAACUUAUCUAGUAAACUAAUCAAUAGAAUAAUAAAUGUAUGUCUACAAAUAUAUUUGCGUUUAUAUAAAAAGACAUUUACAAUUUGAAUAUUCAAGUAGAAAUAUAUGUGUCACGCAUUUUGUAAACUGAAUACUUUCUCAUCUGUUCGCGAAUAAUGAAUAAUAAAGAUUUUCGUUACCCUUGAUGUUAUGUCAUUCAUCGAUUUCAACGAGAGAUAUAAUAAAACAUUUGCCAUGACCUGUUGAAUGUCAUAAAAAGAGUCCCCCGUUAAAACUUCAGAAAAGUUCGUGCUCUUCAUCAAUAAUACAGUCGAAAAAUGUAUAAUGAAAUGCAUCAUGCGGAAAUAAAAAAAAAGUUAUUAAUUGUAUGAAAGUAGUCGGCACAAAAAAAAUGACGGCAUCGAUUUUAAUGAUUAGAUGCUAUUCGCAAAACUCGUAUGAAUUCGCAGAAAUAACAAGUCCAGUACUAAUUUAUUUGCUUAUCUUUUUCACAACGAUUGAAAAGAUAAGCAAAUAACUUGCUACUUAACUCGUCUCUCUAUUAACUUAAUUGCAAUGUUAUUACUACAAUUAUUACUACAAUUUAACAAUAAUUAGUGCUUUCAUCAUCAAUGGAAUUAAACUUACCGUGUUUUUGUCCUCCAUCCUUGUCAACCUAUCCUUUCUUUCUCAGUCACAUUGGAAUGCCCUAUCGAAGUAAACAUCGAGCUUUUAGCGUUAAUACAGUAAAGAAUGAUAUAUGAUUAUCGUCCAUUUUCUGAACGUUCUAGUGUGUACAAACGAACGAUAAGAAUAAAAUGUUGAACUGACAACAUCACACGAUUGAUCUGUUUACCACAAUUUUUUCUAGAAAGAAGCAAAAUGUUUUAUUCAUACAUAUUUACAAAUUAGAAAGAUGACAAGUUUCAAUAAUGUUCCAUAUUUACAGUUUACACAGAAAGAACAAUUUUAAUGUAGUAUUAAAAAAUUUAGCUAGAUAAAGAUCAGAAAAUAAUUUUACGUUAGAUUAUCAAAGUUAUUAUGUAAGACAUUCAAACAUGAUGAUACUGUUGCAAAAAAUUUUGACAUUCUAGUAAUCACGUUAAACGUUCAAUAUAAAUUUUUUAAUAUCUUCAACAUAAUUAUUUUCAAAUCUGUAUUUUAGCAACAUUGUUUUUUUCGUGUAUUAACGCUAAAAGGCCGAUGGUAUCUGAAUACAUUUCAUUCGCAGCUUAUAUUGCUUCGUAUUUUUAAUCAGAAAAGAAUAGCUGUUUGUGCUAAAUUUGUACAAAAACAUUCAUGUGCAUGUAAAUUUCUUAUGACAUAGUGUGGACAAACUAUAAGAAGCUGACAGUAAAUAAUGAUGAAGCAGGCGUUUGUGCCGAUAAAACGUAUAACAUGUAAUAAAAGAGAAGAAUCGGAAUCAGAAUCGUCAUUUAUCAGACGCUCUGGGACUACGUUUCCUAAAGCGUAAUAAAAACAUCGUUGCAAAAAAUGAGCAGUACAAUUGCUACAAUUAUAUACGUGAGGUACAAAAAUAAAACAGAUAAUAAAAUAAAAACGUAGAACAAUAGAUAAAAGAAGAAAAUAUCUACAAAAUAUCCUUAAAUUCUUAUAUUCAGGAAAUGAUAGCUUCUUAUAAUUUUCAAUUCCACAGGAGUCACAACACGUAUAGGAAGGGUAAAAAAUGGCUCGAGUGUCAAAAUGCAGAUACGGAAAUAAAAUAGAGAAAAAUGGUGUAGCAGAUAAAAAUUGUUAAGACAUAUCGUAUCGCAGAAAUCUGAAAUACAAUACAAAACAAAUGUGGGAUGGUCACGAAAAUGUCUUGAGGCUGUUAAUAACGUGAGAGUGGGCGUAACGUAUCUGCAAAAUGGCAUUCACCUCCAAUGUAGCGCGCGAUGUAACCGGAUAUAAUUCUGCAGCGAGCACUCGCGAAUGAUUCAUCGGCGCGUUUACACGACGUCGGGUGAGGAAAGGCGACUAUUUUCGGCGCGGAUUCGGAUAGCGCUCGUUGCGGAUCGCUUUUAACGGCUCUAACGCCGUUAAAACAGGAAGCUGAUACCGCCGUAUCACCGUUAUCGUAUAAUAUGAAUUUAUAUGACAAUGCCUUUCUAUUACGGCCGACAAUAGCGGCGACGGUGGUGGUGUAAUAUUACCAAGUCGCCCCGUUGUAAUGUAUAGCCCGUAUGCGUUUGGCUCUCUCUCUCUCUCUCUCUCUCUCUCUCUCUCUCUCUCUCCUCUCUCUUUCUCUCUCUCCGCAGACCAUAAAGCGAAUAAUAUAGCUCGCACGCAAAAUGAAAUAUUUCAAUUGCGGGACUCGCGUUAAUUGCGCGCGCGCUCGCUCGCUCGCUCGCUCGCGCGGGUGCGCCGUUUCAAUUAUCGUAAUGAAUUACGGCGAACGCGAAUUCCGUCGACGCAAGCGCGGCCGAGAGCGCGGAACAUGGGUGUGUGGAUCUUUCACGCGACGGAGCCGGUCUACUCGAUCAAUCUCAAUCCGGAGCGUGGCGUUCGAAAGCGCGCGUGGAAUAUAAUGAAUAUGUAAAUAUUCGACGGGGUGCACGUUGUCGCUUGUAAAUAGCGGAGUGCGUGUAACAGGUGGUGUGCUCUCUGUCUCGCCCGCGGUGACGCGUCGGUGUCGUCGCUCGUCGCUCGUCACUCUUGACAAUGGCGUACACAUGCCGACGGCGGCGGACCGCAUGACGAUGUGUAUACCGCCACGCCGGUGGACGGAGGACGUGGGCCCUCGGCCCUCAGCCCCUCGACCCUCAUCGACGACGUACGCGAAUGAGUUCCUCGCGCAUUCAUAGCCGCCGCGUUCACCGGCGCGAAUUCGUACAUCUGUCCGUUCGCUUGUCCGUGCGUAUCGCUCGCGCGCGCGCACGCGCGCGCGUGUAUGUGCGUGUCGCCACGAACGAGAUACGCACGUAUACACGCGGAGCCCACGAACGCGGAAUGCGCAUAGCGCGGGCAGUAAAAGUAAAUGGCGCAUUUUCGCGAUUGCUCGUUACCGCACGAUAAAAUUUACGCUCGCAAUAAAAUAAUCGCAACAAAUACGGCGUAUCAUUUCUUCUCGGAUGCUCAUCGUUUACCCGCUAAUAAAAUUGUCGCCCGUCGUCUGUCGGCAAAUAAAAAUGUCGGAAUUUUCGGGAUCCUCUGGUUGAGAGAUUGCCCCGAUUUCUUCUUCAGAAACUUCGACGAAGCUCAUUAUAAAGUCACCCUCACAAAGAAACCUUUCCAAGUCAAAGCGUUGUGCGAAGUUUGAUUUUGCGCUCCACGAAUGGCAUGCGAAUUUACGUAAUUUAUGGGGCUCGCUCCACAUCCCGCAGGCUACUGUCGACUGCAACGUAAUCAUACCACGAGCCUGCCCUAAGGCCUCACCGUCUCGUCAUCACCGGUCCAUCAUCGUACCUGCAUUGUCGUUCGCGCUGCAAGAUGAACGAACGAUUCGAGGGACAGUAUAUAGUGCGUUCGGCGCGCUGUGAGACGACGAGAUGAAAUCACGCGGUGCUAUUAACCGGAAAAUUUGAAUCGAUUUGCGUCGCGUCGCGUCGCGAGUAAUCCUCCCGAUGGUGGUGCUGGUGCGCACGGCUUAAUAAUAAUGACAAGUGAGCGCGUUCUUAUCGCGACGUUGAUGAAACACGUGUGCGAGACGCGCGGGUGAUUGCGCAUCGACUUGACUGGCCGCUCGGAUCCACGUGUACGCGUACACGGAACAUCCUUCGAGGAACAGCGGAUCGCUCUCCAGUGACCGAUUAACGUAACCGUUCCGCUUCAAAUCUACUGCUGCACAUCAUACGGAGAUUAACGCAGUUGUGCUACAAUUUCUCUACCGCGUGGCAUCUCGUACCGGUGAGUCAAAUUAUUUUUAAUUUUUAAUUUGCGGCAAUGGACUUGGAAAAACAACAAACAUGCAUGAUACAUGUGUUAUGUAUAAUACAUAUGUUGUGUGAAAAAUUGGAGUAAAGAGUAUUACUGAGAAAUUUUUCUCUUAGAAAUCUAAGAGAAAAAUUCACCGUAAAAUGGAUAAACUAACAAUAAAACAGAUUGAUAAUAAUAUUAAAAAUAAUAUUUAACAUGGAAUUUACGAAAUCAUCGUAUUAUAAUGAUAUCACAACUAUGAGAUUUUUAAAAAAACCAAAUGAAAAAUAUUUUGAAGAUAUUAUUUAUUAAUAAUAUUAUUUAGACAUUUUUAUUAAAAAAUUUUAUAACAAAACUAUUCAAACUUUUAAAUUUAUUGUGUUAGUAAAUAAAAAAGAAACAAAAAAAUAAAAUUAUAACAAUUACAAAAUAUUGACAUUUCAAAAUAUAAAAAGUACUGACAGUUUAGAACAUUUCUUCAUUCAUAUCUCAUGGACGGAGAGAACAGGAUAUAUAUUGACAGGAUUUAUAUAUUGUAUGUAUUUAUGUAAAAAAUAAAUAUUGAUUAAUAUCUAUAAAACUCGGUAGAGAAACAUUGUUAAAAUAUUUGCGUGCGUUUUAUUUUUUUUAUUUUUUUUCUAAAAUAUUUUUAAAAUAGAAUUUGAAGUCUGUGUUUGGCUUCUCUAUAAUCCUUUCAGGAUUAAAUAUUGUAUAAAUUGUUAUGGAAGAAAACAAUAGUCAAAAAUUUUUGUAUAUGCAUGUCAUUAAUGUAAAUUAAAUAAGAAAUAUCUUUUUUCACAAUCACAUAGCGUAUUUAAAAUAAUAUAUUUAUUAGAAAAUGUGCUAAAAUGAUUAUCAUUUUUAUCAUUGAAAUACUCCGAGUUUUAACGUUAUUCUUUAUAGUCUGUUUCUUCACAUUUAUUGGUAACUUAUACACCUGAAACAAAAUAAAGGCAUUUUAAUCAAUAAAUAUUUUGUUGUAGGAUAAGAAAGAUUUUUUUGUAUAGUUUAUUUAAAAUACUAUGCACGAUAAAAUAGUACUCAUGUAAUGCAAUUACGAACUUGAGCGUAUGGGCGAUAUCAUCGGCCAACUUUGAUUACAAUUCAAAAGCUGUUACGAUCUCGACACUUUUGUUUAGGAUUUUUGAUUUUAAUUAAUUUUCAGAGUAUGUUAUUAAAAUAUUAUAUAGUGCUUUUGAAAUAUUGUCUAUAAAGAGUAAUGACAGGAUAAGAGAAUUAAAAAGAGCUCUAUCUUUUUUAUCUUCUUGUCGAAAGAGAUUGAUUAUUUUGAAAUAACGUGUGUUGAAGUAUAUAAGGAUUGUGAUAAAAACUUUUUAUAUUUCUCUUUCUCUCUCUCUCUCUCUCUUUCUUACUCUCUUUUGUAGUAUAAUUAAAUUAAGAGUAACAUAAUGGUCAUUGUUCUACUUUGAUUAAUAAAUCGAUGUAGACGACAGAUGAUUGCAUCUAACUAAGUACAAUAUUUAAUUAGAUUUGCAAUAUUAUACCCACUGCGUGAAAUCGUGCACGUUGGAAUCUUUUGUCAAGGUUACGCAGUAAUUUUAGUUUGGCGCGUGCACCGGACGCGUUUUCACACCGGCGUGGAACAAUAACACGUUGUUAUUACAUGCCUGCUCAAAAUACAUUUAACGAGCUCCAGCUGUUGCAGCGUUUCGUCGAAUGACGGGGUUAUUCGAGAAAUAGGACGAAAUCGUUUUCCAGAGUUUUCAACGGUAUUGAAAUCGGUAGGAACUUUUUGAUAACUCAGCUAGGCUGCCCAUUACGACGAUUAUUUCGUCAAGCGAUUUGCUUCGAAAUGAUGUCAAUUCGCAAACCCUACCUACGUACACCCGAUUAUCCAAUUGACAGAAUACCCCAUUAAUCCAUUAAGCUUUGUAAAAAUAGAUCGCGUCCGUGAAAUCGCGUGACUUGACCCUUUCCGGUCCUGUGAUUGCAAUUGUAGUCUAUUAUAUCUUUGGCUAAUUUGCAUCAUCAGAACUAAUGCAAUAACGUUUGCGCUCUUCUCCGAUAAUUGUGCGUCAGAAAAAUUAAAAACAAUUAUAUAAAAAUUAUAUAAUAUUUCAGCUUACUCGGAAUCUCUCUCUCAAGUUUCCGCGCGGUAGAAGUCAUAUUUCGUCUUUAUGCAAAUCAAUUUUCCAAGAUAUCACGUGAAACACAACUUUAAGACGGUUGCGUUUACUUUAGUUAAGGGAAUACAUAUACGUAGACUUCAUGCAAUUUUCAUUUGCUUCUGCGGUAUAGAUACGCUUUCUACGUGCUGCCAACAAACGUGCUGUAUAGCGUCUAUAUGUUCCUUCGUGUGUUUAUGGAUUACCUAGCUUGUAACGUAACAAAAAUGACGAAACUAUUAAACUUGUUACGGCGAGAGUAGAUAGUAAAUAAUUGACGAUAAUCGUCGGAGCAAUCACAAGACAACGCGGUCAACGCCAUCGUUUCGCGUUAUAUACGUCCGCAUCGUUAAGCUCCAUAACGAGCUUUGAUUUUAUUGAUAGACCUUAAACGAUUAUUAUGUCGUUCGAUCGUCUUAGGCCGAAGAAAACGGGAGAGAUAGAGAGAGGGAAAGAGAGAGGGAUCUUAACGGUCCUCAAUAAGAGAAUUUAAAUUGCAGCGCGACCGCGUUCUGGUCGAGCCGAGAGGAUCGGGGACCGGAUUGAUAAUGGCGAAGCGAAGCGGGGAACAAGAAGCGGGGACACGAGGGGGAGGAACGGAGAUAACCAGUCCGAAGAUAGUUUGACAUGGAUGAUUUAACCGGUUUAUCUACCGAAUGACCGCGUAAUUACCUAUCCCGAGUCGGGACCAGAUGUUUUAGCGCUCGCGGCAUGAUAAUUCGCGCGCUCUCCGAGCUUAGCUCGGCUAUUCGAAAUACAUAUUAAGUUAUAGCGGAGUGUCAGAGUGAAGAUAAAAAUACCGUGUUCCGCGAAGGAGAGAAGGAAGGUACGCCGCGGGUCGCGACUCGCGUUCGAUUACAGACGUCUACAUUUUUUUCGAUGUCGCUACGCGGCGCGGCGCGGCGCGCGGUGCGCGGUGCGCGAGAUUAUAUUCAUUAGCGUUUAGCUCUCUUCCUAGCUCGUAGCAAUCCCGACACCUCGUUCCUCAACACUGAAAUUAAAACGUCACGAUCGCACCCGUCGAGAGUUCUCGGUAACAUCCCUCGGGGUGACGCGCCGCAUUGCCAAUACCGUCGAGAGAGGACUCACUCGGCCUCUCGAUUUUCGGCCCCUCUCGUCGAACGAAUCCCCAAUAGAAUUCACGGACGCUCGGCCAAUCGAGCCGAUCGCGCGACGCACAUCAAAGAGUAGUUCCGGAAGCGCAAUUCCUCCACUUUACGUGUCCGACGCCGGCAAAGAGGUUGACUGACGCGAGGAGAAGAGGCCGAAUGAUCGAAUCGGCGCGACUAGGAUGCGAAAUCAGGCGUAUGGCAACGCGCGUCACACGUCGCGUCCGCGUCGUCGUCAUCGUCGCGCCUGCCUCCACGACGAUUCGCGUCACGUAAUUCGCGAAAGAUUUAAGAAUCCGUCGGAGUAUAAAGCCGGGCCCGUAUCCCGUCCGGAGUAAAACAUCCGUUGACUCGCUCUGUACACCAGGCACGGCUUCAAUUAAGCAUCCUCGAUAUUCCUCGUACGUGCGUGCUCGUUUUGCUGCGUUUCCCCGAUCGCACAUAAUUACGGAUACUCACGAUAGUAUCGCAAUACCGAUCUCGGGACGAUCUCUCGCUCAACUUACCUCCGGCAACUUCGUUAGCUUCGAUCAUGGUUUUUUUUUCACAAUAAUUAGGUGUCGACGUUGCCAUUACCGAUGCAAUUAGGAAUGUGUCAUAAAGAAGAGCCAGUAUGACGUAUCGCGUGCUUCUCUAUAUUUAAACAUUCGCCUCGAUAAUUAAGCGAGCGCAAUAAAUAUCGAGCGAAUAAAAGUAUAUGUAUAAAAUCGUAUCAAAGUGAAAAACAGUUUUCCACGUAAUUGAGAAAGAAUAAUGUCGCGUUGAUAUUCGCAGGAUCGGCUCCCGCGAAGGGAGAGAAAAUCCGUGUUGUGCGUUUUCUCCUGCUGAAUUGAAGAAUCUGUACACACAAUUAAUGUGUAAUAAUGCAGCGACGAUCCAGAUGUUGCUCUUUUCGGAUUUGCCUUUUCAUCUCGCGCUCGGAGAACACUCGAGAGUUUUAGCAUUGAUACGGUUAUCGUUACGACCGGCCGUUACGUUGGUACGGCUUACACCCGCGACUCUUCCUACUAACUUUGCGAAUGCCGCACGCCUAAUGACGCGUAUCUUGGCCCGCGGCGCUAUUCCGAGACGUUGCCUCAUUUUUACGAUUAUUGGAAUAGUCGCGCCCUCCGUCGUAAAAGUAUAAAAUAGAGGGGAAACUGCCGGCCGAGGUCUGCUGGCGAUUUUAAGACGCGAUCAUUUCGAGUGCUCUUUCUUCAGCGAGCUGUUGUUUCUACUGCCGGUGCUCUAUCUGUAGGAUCGAGUCGAUAACUGCAAGCUUGACAGAUGUAAUUGCUGUGCAAUUUGUUCGUAAUGCGUCUUUACGAUGAUAAAAUGUGACUUGAAAAGUUUUCGUAGUAAAAGAGUAUUUUUCUUUAAUAUAAUCAUACACAUGCGUAUACACGUGUACGUGUGUACGUACAUAUGCGUAUAAAUCAGCGUUUUACUAUAUCGUUUUUCAAAUUUAAAAAGGAAAUAGGAAUACAAAUCGCUAAAUAAAUCUUUUUAUCCACUUAUUUAUUUGUUUAUGAUUCUUAAAAUGUUGUAUUUCAUCCGAUAUUCCUAUAAAUCAUAGACAGGUAAAAGCCGAUUAAAAUGUUUACCUUGCAAUAUCAAAUUGGAUCAAACUGUACCGUUUUGUUUCCAAUUCCGGGGAUUGUGAAUUGUACCAUAGUUUACAUGACUAUUACGUAACAGUACGUAACAGAGUUAUAUAAAUCAACCAAAUGUUGCGUAAUUUUGCUGUGAUCUCUUGUACAAAUUCGGCAUAUAACAUUAUUGUAAUUAAAUAAUUCGUUUCAUGUGGAAACAACAGCUUAUCUCGUUAAUUAAAAUAUCGUCUCACGUCAAAUAAAAAUGUUUAAUAAUUUAAAGGCGUAAUAAUGUAUAGUGUGUGUAAGAUACAGGAAAUGGAGCUCUCAGAAUUAUUUCGAGAUUCUGCGCGUAUGUAUGGAUGAGGAUUUGCGCGCGAUUCACGGCUUCCGUUAUACGCGUUGGGAUACACAAAUCACCGUCGUCAUCGUCGUCGUCGUCGUCGUCGUCGUCGUCGUCGUCGUCGCAGAGAUACGAGUUUGUUGUAUUUGCACGCGGACGAUUCUCGUCGUAGCCAUCGGAGAAGGGCAGCAGGAUGGCGAAAAGAAAGUCGCUAACCAGCUUCUCGCAGACGGCGCGACAACCCCGAGACGGGGAUGCAACGUGCCCGGACUUUUAAUACCACCGUGAAAAUUGUGCCCGGACCUCGCUCUACCCUCGAUGAGAGAACGUGAGACUAUCUCUCGCGCACGUGAGCCGUGGCUGCGAUGAUUAUUUUCUGAUUCGGUGGGAUUCCGUGCGCACGAUCUGAUGUACGCGUGCACCGACAGUGGCUGCUGCUGCUGCUGCUGCUACUGCUGUGGCAGCACAAUAAUGCCGUGUCCCGUGUUGAAAAGCUCUCACGCGAUCACGAUCGCGACGCGAGAAGGCCGCGGCGGGAAGAAGGAGGAACGGGGGGAGGAUGUCGACGACGACGAAAACGAGGAUGACGGGAUACGAGGCGCGGCAUAAGUUACGACGUGCAAGUUAUCGAUCCGCGCACGUACGUACCAAGGUACGUGCCUAUGUAAUGCGUAAGCCGACUCGCCUCCGAAGGGUGCGACUUUAUGACGAUUUUCACGAGGGUACAAGCUGGAAAGAGAGGGAGAGAGAGAGAGAGAGAGAGAGAAUGAGAAUAAGGGAAUAGGCAGGAAAGUGACGGCGCUGAAAUUGACAGGCGUUCCACGACUGAGCUCCCGUCGUCGUCGGAGAGAUGUACAUGCUGAUUUUAAUGGCGAUAAGAUUUAUAGCCGAUAGAGGUCCGGGAAUGCAGUGUGCAUUUACGUAACGUUUCAGCGCGUUCCCGACAACGCCAUUCGACUAGAGAAACCGCGCGGAUGUUCGUUUAAACGGCAGUUUCGUGGCUCACUCGUUCCCUCAUUCUCUUCGUCCACGAUCGUAGCCGAGACGCGUGGCGGAAUUUCGUACUCGACUUUUAUGUCCCGCGCGCUGAAGGCUCGCCCGGGACCGUCCGGCGAGACAACGUAAUUUCGCGUUAUCUGCGUAAUUCAAGCUCUAGAUUCAAUUUGCACGAGACGCGCCGGAAUCGCGGCGAAAGAAUGGUCUGUCUCGUCGGAGGGAAUUACACAGAACGGGAUGACACUUUUCGAUUAAACAGUGGCUAAUCUUACAAAUACGUUCUUUGUAUGGAGUAAAUAAUGAAUUUUCCCCCGUUACAAUACGAUAGAGUUAAAAGAAUUUUAAUUGAAUCCCGUUUUAACGUUAAAUAAUGAUGUAAUUGAAUUUUCCAUUUUGCCGUUAUCGUCAAAGAAACGUCAAUUUCAAAUGCAUCAAGAAGAAGGAUUCGUUAUCAACGCGUCAUUCAACAAUAAUUCGCCUCAUUCGAUUGGAUUUAUUCAACAGUAUUUAAUUAAAUGCGAUUAAAUUUAACUAACAAGUUAACUUACAUAAGUAAUGCUGCUUUUUCAAAACGUGGCGAAAGGCUCGUCACUUUUCGCUGCACUCACACUUGGUCAAACAUUAUUUUACUUUACUGUCGCUCUAGAUGAAGCACGUAUUGCUUUAUUAUUCUUGCGUGAGAGUUUUGUAAUAAACUUUCCAACGCGUGAGUGUAUUAUUUUUCGAAAAUCCGCCCGCUGGUUUUCGCAUACAAUUUUACGUCGUUGCCGCUUAAGAAGUUUUGCAAUCAACCGGAGGAACACGUUGCGUGUUCGCGCGAUGCGUUCGCGAAACGUAGGCUCCUUCUCGGGUUUUCUUAUUGAGCUGUCUCAUAAUCUUUCGCAAUCGUUUUGUAAAGUCGUUCGGUCGGGUCUUGAGGACUCUGAUUUUCUUCCUUUAGACAGCGAUACAAGUUGCGCGCGAGAAUAGCGAGGCUGAUUCUGCGAGCGAGCGCCAAUUCUGUUCCCAAUCGGCGAUGAAACUUCCGCGAACUCGUUCGAAAUCCCGUGCGAACGAACGGGAUGAUUUCGAAGUUUGUACUCUCAAACGGUCGGCGAUCGGUGCGCGACGCGUAAAACGACUUCUGAAUUGAACGUAGUCAGCUCGUGUUGUCGUAUCGUACUUUUAGUAACAAAAUAGAAGAGUUACAACUGUUAAAAGUUGUUUCUUCUGAAACCGUGAUUAAAAAAGAAAGAAGUAAGAGAUAAAAGAAAGAAAUUACCAAGAUAGAAAAAUGAGUUUCUUGUUAAAUUAGAAUCAUUUCUUUGUGGCUAAAAAUUGAUUGUCGGUGACAUUUACAUAGUUUAAAAAAAAAUAAAGAAACAUAUUUCAUAUUCGAAACUCUCUAAAUCUAUAACAGAAUUACGCAAAUAUUAUUUUUAUUUUUAUGUGUGAAAACAAUAUGCAAUAUACAUUGUAAAAAUUUAUAGAAAUAUGUAAUAAUUUUUUUUCAUAAAUGUUAGCAGGUUUUGUUUUAUUACAUAAGUCUUUACUCAAAUAGUAACGUCACAUAGUAAAUAGAUAUAUUAUAUAAUAUUUUGAGAUAAAAAUUAGAAGAAAAGGAUAAAUUAAUACUAUUAUAUAAAAAUGCUUUUGACUUUAAAUUACAUAUUGAGAAAUAGAUCUUUUUUUUUUAUACAGGUUUUACUAAAAUGCAACAUCAGGUCCGAACAGCUUAUCCAAGUCCUGUAAUUGAACAUUGUUCCCUAUUGUAGUGGAACAAUCCAUUGCAUGAAAUGCCGAUGAACGGCGUUCUUUCGCCGGGCAAUUUCGCUUCCUCCCCCUCUGAUUCAAAUUUCACCCCGGGCUAAACGACGCUAUUAGCUCCCUUCAAAGCUCCUAUUCGCGACAUCGACGUUUCUCUAUGAACCGAACGGUGUUCUCGUUCGCGAAACAACGCACCACACGGACACGCGCGCACGCUUUGUUCCCUCAAAAAUCACAGAAGUUUUUGUGCCUCGUGUUCACGUUGCCGGGGCGCGAGUUCGCACAAAACCAUGCGCGACCGCUCUUUUUUCUCUCUCUCUCUUUUUUUUCAUCGCUUUUUUUUCGUGUCGCUCGCUCGCGCGCGCGAGACUGCGUCGUAACGUGAAAUUCGUCACGUUCCAUUAUUGCGGUUUACGGUACGGAAACCCGGUAGCGGAUGAAAAUUCCGCAUCGGCCGAUCGUCGAGCCUCUGAAUCGUGAAAACUUCUAUCCUCGCGCGAUUGAGUCGUUGCCGGUAUGCUCUCUUUCUCUCUCUCUCUCGCUCUCUAUCUUUUAUUUUUUUUCUUCUCUGUCCGACGAAAGGCGAGAGAGGAUAUCUCAGCUAGGAUCACGUCCGACAGAAGAGGAUCGCGGGUGAGAGACACGACGAUCGUACCCUCGUCGUCCCAUUAAAAUCCCCCGGAGAGCGUUGCGCGCGCGUUAUCCACGUUCGCGCAGAAAAAUCCGCGCUUAAUCGCGCCGGUCGAGGAAACGACGCUUAAUGGCAUUAGCCCCUCGGGCGAUUUCCAUCGGCGAAUCGCGUGACUUGCCAUAAGCGAAUUUCGCAGCCUUCUGCGAGAUUGGGUUAGGUCGGCACGAAGGCAUUCUGUCUCUCUCGCUUCCUCUCCGGUAGGGCGAUCUUCGAUCCCAGAUUAAGGUACCGGCCACGCCGGUCGACACGUAAACCGGGUAAACGGCAUCUCGUGCGGCCUUUUGUAAUUGGCACUUGUUGCCGUGAGUGGCCGAGAGUUCAAUUUACAGCCGGAGAAGAGAGGAGAGAGAGAGAGAGAGAGAGCUGACAAUUAUCGAUAAUCGUCGCUGGUUAUCGGUAACGUCACGGUCGUAUCGUCGCUUUGUCGGGAUUGUCGAUAACUCGCGUUAGCCGGACUGUGCUGGGUCGACUGCAACGUCUAUUUCUUGGGAUGAGUUGCGGGGACAGCCUUGGUUAAGCUUCAUAGCCCCAAGGGAGUGCUAGAUGCACUGCGUAGUAUUAACACGAAUGAAUGGUACAGCUAUGUUAUCAGAUUAUAGUUAGCGAUUCCCUAGUCCCUUCCUAGAUUAUAUCUUUAGACGUAAUAUCGAUGGAGAAAGAAACUUUGGUUAACUAUGAUCACAAGCACCCGUUGGUGCAAUCGGCUUUUAUUGAUUUAUAAGCUAUGCUAAGCAUUAUAUGUGUUCCACUGGUAUUAGACAAUGCUGUAAUAAGAAGCGAAAGUUUAUUGAUGUUAAUUGAUGAAAGAUUUUUGCAAAUUUUGUUAAUUUUUACAAGCUUAAUUACAUAAAUGUCUAACUUUGCAUUUUUGAUUUUAUUUCUUUGCAGUACCUAUACCGUUGCUGUAUUUAAAUAAAAGUGUGUAAUUAAUAUAAUCUAAAUUUUAAUUAAUAAUUUUAAUAAUAAGCUCUUGCUCUCUUUCAUUUCUGUCUCAUGUUCUUAAACUUACUUUAAGAGAAGAGUUUAAAAACAUUUAGAUCACUCAAAUAAGAAAAAGUGAGAAACUUGGGCGCGCUUAAAAGUUGAAGCUUUAGUGAUAUAAACGGGUAAUGCAACUUUAUUUCUCAUUCAAUUGCAAAAGAACUUUAACAGAAUUUAAUAAAUUUUGCGGCUUAUUUAGCGACAGUUCUAAUAUCGUGAAUUUAUAAAUUAUAGAAUCCUAUGAAAUUUUCGCCAAGUCUAAGUAGUCGCCGCUUCGCCGUCGCGUCGCGCCGUCGCCGGUUGCUAAUUCGUCAAAGUGUCUGAUGGUGGAAUAUUGCACGAUGCCGUAUACACGUAUACAUAUGGACGCAUCCCUACAAGUGAGAGAAACUCGGAUUCGGACAGAACCGACGGACGAGCUUUUCUGACUAGACGUUAUUCGCGGGUGGCAUAUUGUCCACGAGUAAGGCUGGCGAGUUUCGACGACGGAGUUUGGGAUGUGGGCUUUGACUUGGGGUAACUCGCACUAUAAUCUACAACCCGCUCUAACACAAUGGCCGGUUGGAGUCCCGCAGGGAAUUGCGUCUCGUACCUGCGGCAAUGGUCCCCCGGAGUGGUUUCGCGAGUAAAUUAUUCGCAGCGCGAGCGAUCUUCUGGCUUCGCCAGAAUAAAAUGACGUUUAAACUGUCCGGCCGGCGCGACGCGACGUGGCGGCGGCGCGGCGGUUGGGUUUUCGAGGGUUUUUAAGGAAUCUCCGGCAUUUCAGACGCGGCGCGCGCGCGAGAGAGAGAAGUUAGUUUUAAAAAUUUCCUACAAACUUGGGCGCGCGCGGUUGAUUUAAAUGCUUAAUUGACAGAAUACUUCGGCUCGCCGCCGCGCCGGGCGACUCGUAAAAGCAUCAUGAAUAUUUAAUCCGUCGCGUAUCUGGUAAUCAAGAAAGUUCGGCUAGUUAGGCCGAGUACACAAUCGCAGUGUACGUGACAACGUCGAAAAGUAGGAUACUCUUGCUGGCGAGUCUCUAAUUUAUUGAGACUUUUACGUUUCUUUGAGACGCGCGCGCUCCGAGUGCUACUUUAAUUACUCGACGCAAAGUCGUCGUCGUCGUCGUCGUCGUCGUCGUCGUCGUUGUCGUCGUUAUAUACUUUGGCCGGGAUGCAAAGUGUAUCGCGAGUAGCAUAUAACGGCCGUUUAGCUGAUGUGUAGCGUUAUACUUUACGAGACUUUAUUAUCACGGUUGAUUUAGAUAACGUGAUCGAACCAAGUAACCACCGCGCCGCAAUCUGUUUAACAGGCCAUAUGUAUCCGCAUUAGGGGUCCCCCGUAUUGCGUUUUGCUAUUUGACAAUUUAUUGCGAUUACCUUAAUCAAACUAGAUGCGGAAAUAUCAGCGCGCGCGUUUGUACGCGAACGAAAUUACUGCCAAAGGGCACGCGCAAAACACGUUUUCGGGAUCACCGACGCGAUGUAUCGGAAGUAGAUAACGUCGAUGCGAUUUAUUUUCAUCACUAUCGAUGCGAGACACCCGCGGGCGGUGUAUAGUUAGUGGAGUGAAACCGCGCCCGGGUAAAAUCCUCGUUUUAUCCCCGCGGUUCCGGCGUUUAAUGGUUAAAAAUAAAGUAAUUCACUGCCAAUCUAGCAAAUCUGGUGAUUUAAUGACGUCGAUUCCAUAUCAGCGGCAGUUUAUACCGGCCCCAAUUUUAUCGUGUUACUCUGUUACUUUGAUAUACGCAAGUGGGAUUUUACUGUCGGUAUAAACCCGAUUUAUGCGUGGCUUCCGGCCUGGCGACGUGAAUUUCGUUCGACCAAUCGAUAAACCAGUCUACGCAAUUGCAUGCAGCAGGUUCUGCCAUUCUUUACCAUCACCGUGCAAACGAAAUUAUGCUCCCCUGCUUCCUUCUAUCUCUCUCACACUCCUUCCCUCGCGCCCUUUUUCCACUCCCCCCCCCUCUCUCUCUCUCUCUCUCUCGUUCCAUCCAGUAUUGCAAUAGGGCAAUUCGUUUCCGAAUUUAAUUCGUCGUAUUGGAGAAGAAAAAAAGUGAAAAGAGGACCGACAGUUCGGCAGUUCAUACAAUAGAAUUGCAACGUAAAAAGAAUGAUUUUUAAGUUAUCAUUGGAUCCCAGCUAAAAAAGCGGGUUUCGAAUAACGCUUUAUUUGACAAAUCGAUGAGAUAAAGUACGUUCACAUGUGAUGUUUUAACUGUAUACGAAAGUCAUAUAUAAUACGAUAAUAAAAUUCGUAUGAAUGCGACGCAUUUGCAUUUUGUUGAAUGUACAUGGAAAAUAAAUUGCAUUGUAAUCCUCUUUUUGCCUAUAUAUAGCUGAAAAGCUAUUGAUGCAUCUGAAUGUUUCGAGUUAUAACUCUUUUUCAGAAAGCCAUCGCGACUCGUCGCGGGUAGGAGCGGGAGUAGAAAUAGGAACGAUCGUUACGGCUUCGGUUACGUCAUCGUGGGCGCGCACCGGAUAUAAAACCGUGAAAAUAAAAAGAUUUUCCGCGCGAACGUUUCGGCCGCCUGGCUGCCGGCUUAUCGAUUUACUCCACUUAGAGCCUGUUAUGACGAUAAUUGAAUUUAUAUUGUCAAUUUUCCGCCGGCUGUGCUAGAUCGGUGAAACGGUAGGUCAAUCUGCGCGACCGUGAACCAUUUUGCGAAACGAUAGCUUAUCGCGAAUACUUAAUAAGAAGGGGAGACGAAUAUCUACUCGGGAAUCGAUAGGGCCGCUCCUCUUCACCGUGAAACGCGGUUCGUAAACAUUAGCGCACCGUGGUGCUUCUAUUACAAUCGACUCUCUCUCUGAUUGGUUAAUCGAAUUACGGAAAUCUAGAUUCAACGCCGGCAAGUAUGAUUCGACUGGUAAGCAUUGUUCCGCAUAUAUACGUGUCUUUGAUUGAAUCAACGCCAAUCUGCGCGAUUACCGGUUCAACGAAUGCUUGUGGAUCGAGGGCAAAUGCGUUACGAGAAGCGAAAUGCAGUGAAAUAUUAAAGUAGGAUAUAAGCGUUGAGAAAUAAAAUAUAACACGAGCAGAAUUUCCUAGUAAUUUUUAUCCAAUUCUAUAUAUUUAUCUACGUUUUAGAAAAUAAUCUUGAGGCAAAUUCAAAUUGUUCAGUUUACUAUUAAAAAUAACAUUAUUUUCUUCACCUCUCUUUCCAUCAAUUAAUAAAAUAUUUAAAAUAUCUAACAAAUAAAUUAUUUAUUAUAUAUAAUUAUCAAUUUUCUGAUCUAGAAUCUUUGAAUCUCUUAACUGUUUAGCUUACUGGAAAUUCUACUCUGCUGUCUCAUACAGACUUUACCCAAUUGUAUUUUUUUUUAAUAUUUGCAUUAUAUUUUAAUACAUUGUUGAUACAUUAUUGAGGGACUUUUUAUUUCCAUCUUCAUCAUUUAUUAUUAUACUUUUAUAAUCAAUGCUGCCUCCAAAAUUGCGCUUCCAAAUAACUGCGCAACUGUUUGUUCAUCUCGCUUUCUGGAGCAUUGAAAAGUACGAAAAAAUAUCUUGAAUAUGAAAACGUGCUUUAUCUUUAUUUCACGUAUCGAUACGUAGAAAAAUAGAAAUGCACCUGUGGAUGUGCAUGUUUCAUGAGAUCUUGUCUCUCGUGUAUCGAAUUUAUUUAUUUUUCAAUGGCGAGCUCACGAGUUCGUAGCACGCGAAUCAAUUGCUCGAAUGCAUUCGCAUACUACUAUAAUGAAUAAACAAUCGCUUUAUAUUUUAAGCAAACAAGAGAGGCAAUCGCAAGAUUUUGAGAAAUGAAGUAAGCGGACGAGUUAUGUGUAUGAAGAAAAAUAAAAGAACGAAGUAGUCGUUAAAUGAUAACAGAAAAAUUCAUUUCCACGUUAAUCUUUUUCAUUAAUCACAAAUAUUUAUUAGAUAUUGGUAAACAGUGACGUAUAUUUAUUAUUAUAGAAUGAAUGCAAUACUUGAUAUUUGAAAAUUAAUAUCUACAUUUACAUGAUAUAUUAGUAAUGAAAAAAAAAAUUUUUUGAACGUUUUAGAGUUAUUAGGAAAAACGUAACAUGCUGUAAUAUUGCAUUAAGAUAUUAUCUUUAUUGACUUACGUCAGCGUUCCUCUUAACGCUCUGCAUACUUGCUGUCAACUAUCCUAAAUCAAUGAAUAAUUUUGUAAUGAAGGUUCAACAACGGGGGGGGAGGGCUAGGAAGAGAGCGGAAGAGAGUGAGGGGGGAGGAGGAAGAAACGGGUGGAGAGUUGGAGAAGCUGGGCGCAUGUUGGAUUAAUUAAGUACGGCUCACUUUAGCGCGAGCAGAAACCAGCGCUCGACGAGGAACGCACCAACUCGGCUGUGUCGUAAAUUUGCUAACCGAGAUCAGAAGAUUGGUGCCCGUCCAGAAUGGCGAAGCAGAGGGAGAGAGCGACGGCGGCGGAGGCGGUAGCUGAUUGGUUUCUCAAGUGCUUGCAAAACAUUCACCGUUGAAAGGCUUCCCGGUGGUGUGCUUCCGUCGUCAUGGCAAUCUCGAGAUCGUUCCAGUUUUAAAUGCAGAUAUAUCCACCAUCCUCCCGCGCUCGCACCAGACAAUACGCAUUUAAUGUCGGAAGUCAAAUUUAUUUGCACGCCGUCCGGUGGCGAUAGUUCGCUAACGAUGAAUGCCCGUUCGAGGUAAUUAAUUCGAGAUUAAGCAGGCGAGGAUACUUGAUCCCUGGGAAUUAGCGGGCGAAAUACAAAACGCGCACUCAAUUAUUAUUUUCGUAAUUGAACGCGGUUAUUUGGGUAAAAUUCUUUCCGAAUAAAACCAUAGUACAAUGGCGCGGCGUUCUUGAUAUGCGUAGCUAGAAAUAUAACUGAAUUUCUAUUACUGUAGACAGAGCCGCAGGUUAUAAAUACGCGCAACAUGAACUUCAAGAACAUUUCAAGUUGUAAUUAUACAUAAUUUGUUUGAAAUUUCAGAUUAUUGAAACUAAUUGAUUAAAUAAUUACUGACACAAUUGCGAAAAAGCACCCGUAGUCUCGAGAGCUUUGUAGGAUCGAUUUUAUACGCUAUGAACCUAUACAUCUAUACGCAUACCAAUUAGAUGAAAGCAGAACAUACAUGUAUCUUCCAUUUAAUAUUCUUUUUUUUUUUUAAUAAAAAAACUUUUCUUCUGUCUAUUUUUUAGAUAGUAAUAUAUUAUGUAGUAUAAUUACAUUUUUAUGAAAAAACGUGAAAUAACGAAGGUUUUAAUACACUUUAAUUAAGGUUAUAAAAAAUUUCAAAAUUUUCAGAUAUGUAAAAUGAUAUAACUCGGUUUUUCAUAAUUUUUUUAUUUCAUAAUUCAGGUGCUGUAGGUAGUAGUUUCCAGAAUGUGAGGAAGGCAUUUAGCUCUUUUGACACACAUCCACACACACACACAUACACACACACACACACACUUCUCUUUCAACUCUUCAAUUUUCUCUAGCUUUAAAAAAGCUCGAUCAUAGGCUUAAGACUGACGCUCGAACGAAGCGAUCGGACGAAAUGGCGGCUUUUGAAAGAGAUUCUAAUCGAACACGCGGCGCCAAUAAAUCCAACAAAAAUUUUUGCGUGCAUAGGGUGUACACGGGCAGGUCGGUGUGUUAACGAAUAGGUUCUGGGGUCAAAUGAAAGGACGUAACACAAGCGUGGCGCCAUGUGAAAUUUGGACGUUUGACGUUUUCCCCUUCGCGCUCGCCUUGCACCGCCCGGAAUGAUUUGACUGCGUCGGCCAAACCUCGCUUUGAAGUCUUUCGCCCGCAAAUUUUUCGCUCGACGGCACCGUUUGAUCAGAGCCAUCGUAUGCGUCGCAUCGCAUCGCAUCGCAUCGCAUCGCAUCGCAUCGCAUCGCAUCGCAGUGCAUCGCAUCUCAUCGCAUCGCAUCGCAUCGCAUCGCAUCGCAUCGAGAUGCAUCGUCCCAUUUUUCGCGGUGUAGAAACGAACCACGAUGGAAUCACCAAUUUAAUCGUUGCUUCAAUUAAAGCGUAUGGUCGCGAGGCCAUAGCUUCUUUAGCUUUCGCUGUAAUUGGCAUAGAAGGGCCUGGACCGAUACCUCAACCGAUUCUCGUUAAUUGAGAAAUAGCCCGUUUGCGAUCGGCGAAGCCAUAAUAAAAUACAGUGGUAACACGUACGCCACCUGCAUUAUUCAUGCAUCGUUGCUUCUUGCCGACGAGACUUUCGAGGAGAACUUCUCAGAUUUAUAUGAAUUCUUGAGAUGCCGCGAGCGGGUAUAAGGGGUAUAAGACAGGAAAAGAAAAAAGAGGAGGAAAUCGCGAAAAGAGAAACGGGGGGAGGGGGGCGUCGUCGUUCUAAAGAUCCGCGCACAACGAUGACUUCUAUAAAUUCAAUAGGGUUCCUCUCUUCCCGUCGCGGCCUGCUGCUUGCUUGCUUCUCUCGGCGCGCUUUUGAAUUUUAUGUGCCAUUAUAUGUGUUGAGAAUCGCAUUUGUUCUGCGUUGCUGCAACUCACGAGCGGCUCUCCCAGGCCUGAGCUUUGUGAGCCACGAGCCCAUUAAUUUUUAUCAAGUGCGACCACUUCGACCAAGGCUUUCGCGGACAUCGAUGCCGGCGACUUGUGUCUAGAUUGGCGUCCUUAUUUCAUUUCUCGCGGGAAAAAUAGCGUAUUUCUUUUCGAUAACUGUCACUGCGAAAUGAUUUGCGGCCGCGACCAGCGAAAACAAUUCGCCAACUAGGCGUUAUAAAGAACUCUUCGACUAUCGAUGUUUCGAUGAUUUCAUACAACAUGAAACAGUAAUUCUCAAGUUAUGAGAUUUUCAUUUACUUCGUGUUCACUCGUGGUUAGGUUGUUUGUUUGUUUAUUAGCAAUAUUUUAUCGCGUUUUCUUUUUGCAAAAUAAUUUUUAUAUUAAUAAUCUUUUUUUUUUAAAUAUGUAUUAUUAUAAAGUUAAGAAUUGCACAUGAUUAAUGACAGCAUAAUAUAUGGUAAACGUCGAUUAUUUCAAGAUUUUGUUCUAGAAUAAAAUCAAGAUGAAUAUAAAAAAGUUUUUUUAAAUCUGUAAAAUCGAAAAAUAUUUUCUUUUUACUGAUGGGUCUUUUUUUACAAUUUUUUUUUGUAUUGACAAUUCUGUAUAGAUCUACGCACAUUCAAUUUUGUAUAUCGUGAUAUUGAUGGUAAAUAUCGAUCAUACGAGGGAGGGCUCUUUAGUAAAGCUGGGCUUUAACGAGCGUGCUCGUUCUGUCGGAGUUAAGCGAGUGUGACAUGGCCAGCGGCGCUGCACUUAGCGGAUUUACAUCGCGGCCAGCUUCCUCGUCGGCCUCGCCAUCGAUUCACUCUCUCGUGAUCUCGCGAGGCGAGCUUUGGGUUAGCUCAGAGGUGCACAACUCAAAUAUUGAAGUAGGCCAUAUUCAAUUUAAAUUCAAUUUAAUCGCAUAAUUUAUAAUGUCAUCGUCGUUUUGCAACAGUUUGGCGACAAGAAUAUUUUUUACGACAUAAAACUUUAUAAGUUUUAGGUAGUCUGAAAUUAAUAGAAAUUUGUUAGGGAAAAUGAAAAAAAAAUAUUGGAAUUUUUAGAAAAAUAAAAAUACAAUAAAAUGUGCAAUAAAAAAUAAAUAAUAGUAACAAACAAUAGUAAUAAAGUAAAACAAAUAAUACGUCCUACUUGUAGAUAAAUAUCUUUACUUGAUAUAUUAUAUUUCGUAUAAUUUAUCAAAGAACUACAUAUAAUAUUGAAAUAUUAGCCGCGACCGAUGCAACUUUGCAAAUUUAAACAGGAGGAAAUUAGAAGGCGGGCAUGUUAUCAGGUGAAACAUCAACGGGGCCUCUCGGCCCGCGGGCCUCGUAUUGCGCACCGCUGUGAAAGACUAGCUAGGAACACGAGUGGUUAAAUCCACCGGGGCAUUAUCCGUCGAAGCGGCCGAUUGAAUGACAGCAUCCGGCACGGGGUAGGUCGUGUUGCUCACGGGGUAAUUUGAGGGUGUUGCGUCUUACCGUGGAUCGACCUGACGUGGACGAUUACCUACCUAUCUGCGGAGAAAGAACCGCCUGAACCAGAGUAUGAUAGUCGAUCGAAUUUCAGGCUUCGACCGCCUGAAGAGCAUUUAAUGUAAUUUAAUCCUUCCGAUUUUGCCGAGAACGAACAUCUUUGUAAACGAGUAAAUAUAUAACGCGCUAUUUUGCAUUUUUACGACGGCAUACAUCGGAAAUUUGUGGCUUGCUAUGCUGAAAGACUUGCACCCUUUAUGUUGAAAUUAUGUAUACUUUGAUGGAGUAUCGACUUUGUAGAGAGAAGUUGUAUAAAGUUAUAUUAUUUGAUGCUGCGGAAAUUUAAAAAUUUCCAAUUUAUGUGAAAAGUAUUCAAGGCUGCGAGAGUUAAAAGUUUAAAUCUUUUUCUCUCUCCCCCUCUUUCUCUUGCGCGGUUUUAUACACGUAGAUAUUAUAAAUAAUUAGUAAGUUUUUAUUUUCUUAUAAAAAUAAUUACUUUGUCGAUUUAAAGCCGGUUAGAGCUUGUUGAUUUAAUAUUUAUUUUGUCACGAUGUAUGUGCGGAUUCAGGGAGCGCCAUUGGAAACAUCAAUCUAUCUCUUUACGAAGUAACUGCCUUUAAGAAUUGUAGCGACCUUGAUACGCGCAAGAGGGGAACUUUCUGAAACUUAAAUUGAAGGCGGUCUCCGCCUUCAUAAACAACUAUUAGUGGCGCCGCCCGACUCGAUUAAUUCUCUUUUAUAUUUCCGCUUCGGUAACAUGGUUGAACAUUUACGAGGUUCCUCGAUGAAGAUAGUCGCUUUUUAAAGGAUAUUACGUACUUAGAUAGAAUAAUCGAUGAAUAGAUUGCUUCAUUAUUAUGAUCAUUAUAUCAGGCAAUAGCUACGCACAGAUUUACGAUGGCAUAGAAAUGGAGCUUUUUCAAUGAAGAGAUAGAAAUGUAUUUUGCAAGAAAUGUAUCUCUCUCUCUCUCUCUCUCUCUCUAAUUUAGCAUAAUAAACAUACAAAACUUGAGAGUGUCAAGUUUACAAAAUUUCUUAGUUUUAUCGCUGUAUUUUUUUUAAUUACUGACAGUCUUGUCCAUCUUUGGUACGACGCCUUGACCUCGCGCAUAUCCCAACGCUGCAAUAAGUUACAAUAUACACAGGUGCUUGAAGCGAAUAUCUCAGGAACGCUUUGGAUAACUGGAUGCCGUGGCACGCUUUUAAGGAGAGCUCUAUCGCGACCGUUCACCCCGACCGCUCUCGACCGCAAUUUCGCCGUGGCGGCGUAACGACGCCCUCCACAUCCCAUGGCGUCUACCCGCGACGACAUCGUCGCCGACGACCUAGGUGGACGUCGGCGAACCGGGCGAGUCAUCGUGUGUACGUACACCGUAUCUGACGAUCGCACGACCAUAUUCCACCCGCCUGAGUCAAGUACAGUCCGUAAACACGCCGUAAAAGGCCGUAAUCAACGGCCAUUCCGCGAUGCAUCACCGCUGGGACGUUAAUCGAUUCGUUCGAUAGUAAUUGCAGAUACGAUUGGCGUGCUCGCGGGGCCUGUAUUAUUCAUGAGGGAUUCGAAUAAUCGGGCGGAAACGCGUUACCUGGCGGACGCGACGCGGCGCGGCGCGGCCUGGCGUCAACGGGGAUUUUCAGCCGCUCGCGCGACUCGUUCUCCACAAUGACGCUUGCCAAAUGCGCCUCUUGGACGUCGAUGAGGAGGAGAGCCCGGAACGGGAUAGACAAUAAUGCGGCGUGCCUCGAAUAUCGGUGUUUUAUCCGAUUCCGAAAUUGCGGGCAAAAAUUGGAUCUACUUCCGCGGAAUGGGACCAAAUAGUUGGUAUUGUCCGCGUCGGUCCCUCUCUACGGAAUUCGUUUCGAUGGAGAGCUCGCGUUGCACCGCUCUGAAAUUGCAGAUAUAUUUUAAGUCGGGCUAUGUUCGCUGAUAUUUACAUGAAUGAAUUAUAGUAUCUCGCUAUUUCCUAGCUAUUUUCCCAUUUCAUAAUUUGUUCCGAUGAUACGUCAAGUUUUGCCAUCGUGCAUGUGUUAUCGCUCUUGCUGUGUGAUGAUAGGAAAUCUAUUUGGGACUUUUGUCGAAUUUGCAUGUCUGAGGCUCCUUGUACUUGUUAGGCAUUAUGAUAGUCAUUAAAUAUGCAGUGCUCUAUAUCUACACCUGUACGCCUUUACUUCGUUAUGCCGCUGCAUUUCUCUAUCAGUCUGGCCUGAAAGCAUCUCCGUGUUAGCGAUAUAACAAGGUAUUUCCGAUAACUGGAUGGAAAUAUCAAUGCCGUCGUGUAUUGUACAUGUACGGUGACUAUAUAUUCUUAGAGAUAAUAAAGAACAAAUCUGAAUAUUUUAGGGUUUUGUUCUCACAUGUUUCCAUGUCAGUUUCUGAAUAUCAGCAGUUCGUACAUUACGAAUUUUUCUUCCGCGAUAUCAAAAUGAGAUAUUGUGAAUUUUCUGAUAGUUUGAAAUUGAUUUGAUUGUAUUUUUUCGAACAAACCUUUAAAUCUGAAGUAGGUUUGAGAUAAUAAAAUACGAAAACAAAUUUAAUUUAAAUAAUUUUAAUUAAUAAAAUUUUUAAUAUAAUUAACAAUAAUUAUUUUUUAUUAAAGUUUUACUAACUAUUGACAAAUAUAAAAACAUAUUGUUCCAUUAUAAUAAAAAGAUUAUGAGAAUGCUUCUACUGCCUUUUAAAGACAAAAAUUUCAUCGAGUUAUACACAGAUUUAUAAUACGAAAGGUAAUUAAUAUAUAAAGAAAUGUUAAUUUUUAUUACUGACAAGUGUCAUGGUGUAUUGAAAAAGAAAAAGGCAUUUGUUCAUUUUAAUUGUCGGAUUAUCUGUUUUUAAUGAAAUAAAGGAUGAAAAAUAAAAAAUUUAAUGGCAUUUCUAUUAUAAUUGACUCUCUCAGUGGUAUUAUUAUGCAGAGUACGCCAGUUUUCAUUCUUGCCAGCGUGCUAUAUAGGUUGAAUAUAAUUGCACUCCGGAAGGAGAACAAAAAUAAAAUCUAAGAUUAUCUUUAUUUAUGAUUCCGCGAAUCGGCCAUCGAAAGUAAGGACCGGUUUUUCGGCGACCGCUGCUACUUUAUUUACGACCGUCCGACGUUUGCGGUUAAUUUACAGAGGUUCGAUCGAGGCAGGGUAGCGUGUUCUUCUCGGGCGUGUAUAUCGAAUCCGCGACGGUACGAUUGGACGCGCGUUGCACGCGUGAUAUCGCAGAACUCUCGUGGAACAGAUCGUUGACGAUGGCACGCGGAUCCAGCCGUUUUCGACCUGAGUAAGUGUAUCCGCCUGUGCUAUGCUAUCCCGAGGGAUAUAUUUAUCCUUUGCCGAUACAAACAAACGGUCUCGACCGUGAUCGCGCUGGGUCUCUCCGUAUUCCGUGGGCGUUGCGUCGCGAACAUCGGAGCAGCAAACUCGCCUGCUGUUGUUUCUACGUCUCGAGACACUGUUUCUGAGGGCAUUGUUAUUUUUAAGCGUCUGAGAGAGAAAGACAUGGACAGAGAUAAAGGCCUAAAACACUAUCUUUUAUGCUUCAGGAAAGUUACAGCAUUUACCAAAAUAUCGGCGUUAUACAAAAUUAGAAAAUUCUAAUUAAUAUAAUAAAAAUAUCGCUAAUGCAGAAUUAACGCAGAAAGUGGUUAUAUUAUCAUAUAUAUUUUUCGCGUAUACAAUACGCCACAGACGUAUACAAAUUGCUAUAAAAAUAGUAUCUGAAAAAUGUUUGAAAUAUAUUUUAACUUCUAUUUUAAAAAUAUUUGCGCGCUUCGUUAUUAUAUUAUAUAAUUCUGACAUUUCUUUCUUUAGUUUUAGUCAAUAAUAGAAAGAAUAUAUUUAAUUCUAGAUUUUUUAAUAAUUUUUCUGUUCUAAUUCCUCAUGUUUAUGCUAUCCAUUACUUUGCUUUGAUAUUAUUGCAACAAGUAGCGAAGGCACGCUAUGUUCGCGAGGUUGAAUGUUCUCAUAUCGAUCUGCUAUCGGCAAAUUUUUUCCUUAAAUAGAUGGAUAUUUUUAUCUUCAACUAGACAGAGGCAAACGAACGAGACGAGAUAAAUUGGAUGAAAAUGCGACUUCGAUACAUGUGAGGGGAAAGCAAAUAAACGUAUCGGUCGGAGUUUUAAGUUUAUUAAAAAUUAAAUUAAAAUUCUAGAAAAGUAAUCUACUUGAACCACUUACUUUCUACUUGAACUUUAAAUGAACGCGAUAAGAUAUUGUUAUUUAAUCACAGUUUAGAAGGAAUAGGGAGAAUUUAGUUGGCAAAGAGCUCUUCAUUUUCAAUCAACUCAAAAGCUAAUUAGUGCCUCGACAUUUUAAGAACCUAUUAGGAAAAUUAACUUGUAGACUAAUCAAAUAAUUUUUCCCUAUUUAUUAUCAAAGAAAUUUAUUACUUGAAAAGUAUUUUUUUACAAUUUGCAGCCAUCAACAAUCGCAGUUUGUUUUUUUUCCUUCCAAUAGGAUUGAUUUAACUCUUCUAAUUCUAAAAUUGCCUGCCAUCGCAGGUAUUUUCCAAUUGUAAUUACCUCGAUUCGCGGAAUAACAUUGGGAUAUUUCAGUGAGGGUUCGAUGUUGCAAAUGUACAUUAACAUCCAUCAGUGUCCUCUGGAUGGCAAUAGCCUUUAUUUAACAAUGUACUGUGAACUCUCAGCGACUGGGAAUUCGCUCCACAUUAUCCAUAGUAUCGUCGGGCUCGUCGGGCUCGUCGGGCUCGUCGGGUUCAAAACAAAUUUGAGAGCCGUUUCAGAAAGCAUUCUUCUCACAAACAGAGGUUCCAUGAUGCUUCCAAUUCGUUGUGGUAGUCCCCUGCUUCGUCGAGUGACCAGAAUAUCUUGCCGCCCUACCUUUGUUUUUCUACGAGCGCAAACUGCGUACUACCUUUGUCGCUUGCGUCCCUCCGUGAGACUAUGCGGCAACCAACCGGUAUACCGAUCGUAAAUGCGAGACGAUGUUUCGAUUGUAGUUGUUACGAUUCGCUCACGCUACGCGAGCAUCGUGCUUUAUUUGUAUUUUGUUUUAUACUACUCGCGCAUUGUGAGGCGUGUAUGCCAUGCAGAUGACGCAGGUUCCCGAUACACCUGUCACAAUGUUCUUUACUUUAUUAUCGUUUUAUUUCGCAUCGUGAUUUAUAAAAUUUGGAAUUUUUAUUAUGAGCGUGACAUUUCUCUCAUUUAUAAUAUUCUGCAAAAAAUGGAAUUUUAUAAAAAUAUUUUAUAUGUUUCGUGUAUAUUGGUACAAAAAGUUUAGUAUAAAAAUGUACUGAUGCCACUUAAGAAUGACAAUUAUAGUAAUAUAGCAAAAGUAAUGAUCGAUACAGUAAUAAUGUAGUAAUUGCAGUAAUUAUCAUUAAGUAACUAUGCGUUGAAAGCUAGUUGGAAGGCCUAUUCAUUGAAAUUCGACGUGUGGAUUUAUGUUCGAGAGAGAUUCAUUCGCUCUCGAAUACGCAGUUUCAAAAUGCCGGUUUCGGGCAUGAAUGGUCGAGUUCGUUCGCUCUUGAUGACCGUUCCCAUUACAGCGACUGCAUUCGUUUGCUCGUGCUCGAUCGUCCAUGCUCGCAUAGUAUAAAUGCACCUUUGACUGCUGGAAUACUUGAUGCGCGCACAUCUAUAAUUUCACGCUCGCGUGUCACCGAUCCGUUUCAUUUCCCAUCGAGCUAUCAUCCGGGAAGAAUAUUCAUCAUACUCGACGCUAGUGCCGCGUCAGGAACUCAUCAUCCAGUUCUGCCACCAUAGUUCAAUCAUUCACACUGUCCAUCGAGUUAAUGAUAAUACUCCGUCUCUCACGCGUGGAUCUGUCGCGAUGUUUGCCCUCGCGAAACCGCAUAGUUAUACCUCUAUGCAUGUGCAAUAAGGCUAUAAUCACGAGGUGACCCGAAAUCGGCGGGAGCGAUAUAUCACAGAGAUUAUUUCAUUAAUAUGCAUAUUUGGUGAUUUUGCAAUUCGGUAUUAUUUAUUUGCAAAUCAUAUAGAAGCAACGGCAAUCUAAAUCGAGCAGCGUUAUGGAAAUCGGUAUACAUUGAUAUCUUAUUAUACGGUUAAUUAAAAAUUGCUUGCGAUGCCUAUUCAACAAUACAUACCUACAUAUAGCUAUCAAUAUCGCUUGGCUGAUACUUUAACGUAACUUACGCACUUAUAAGUAAUUGGCAUCGUUUAUGUAUAUCAAUAUAAAUCAAGUAACAUAUUGCAGUUUUAUAAAUGAUAAACAUUUAUUUGACAUUUUUUUUUUUUUUAGAGACGGCUUAAUUUUGUUGCCGUGAAAUUGUUUUUAUCGCUCACGCAGUAUAUUAUUUCUUAAGCAACGAUGUGCAGAACAAAUUAUCCUGAAAAAUGAAAGCAAUACAAUUGUAGUCGUCCUCUAUUUUCUCUUACGCCCGUCGCGUCGCCCCGUAUCUGCGGAAGCUAAAAGUCGAAGUAACGUCUCUAGGUUCAUUCGUGUUUUUUGCUCGUAACAAUAAUUCUUCGCGCUCGCGUCACAGGGAAUCCGGAUACAAGAAAAAGCACGAAUUCCGGCGCGCUCGGUGCACUUUAAGCUACUCUCCGACAUGGACGACGGUAAGAAGCGACUCGCGAUACGAGUCGACGCGAAAGACCGGUGCGAUUCCGUAACGCUCUUCCACGCGCGGCCAUUUUUCACCUUCUUCUUUGCCGAAACUGGCCGAAGAAAUCAACGGCGAGUGUACACUAUCGCGAUUCGAAGCUGUGGCGGCGUGACGCGGCGGCGGCGGCGUGCGUGCGAGAGGAAGCAUCGAGACUAGAGACCGAUCCGCGAACGGCGAAACGGGCGCGCGCGCGCGCGCGCGGGGAUGCUGCGCACCGAUAAGACGGUCCUCGCUCGUGUAUCAAAGUACGACAACUUCAUAGCCUCGCCGACCGUAAGUCAGGCCAUUAUCUCCAUUAUUGCCAUCUUUUUUUCAGACGAGGUAUAUAAAUAGCCCGCUCUCGUACAGAUAAUAAGCGUAUCCCCUUCCCGUCUUUCGUGCGCGGCGCGGCGAGAGGGAAAGAGAGGGCAACCCCAUAAGUCGGAGGGGCCAUAUAAUCCGCAAACAUCUGAAUUUAUGCCGUCGACAUUGCGGUUGAAGAAGCUUGCAGGAAGGCCGUUUCAUCGUCGUUGUCGUUGUCGUUGUCGUUGCCAAUGUUAGACCUUUGUGGCACGCGCUUUUUAUCCCGCGUCAUUGUCUUCCCCUUUCGAUAAAACGCACGAUAUUCGCAUGCGAAUGCUUGUGAAUGUAACGUGAUACGGGAGCCGCGCUUUCUCUCCGCGUGUCCAUUAAGGUAGAUAUUGUAAUAAACCGGUUUAGUCGUUUGUGUGCCGCACGGAGGCUGGGCACGGAUUUAAUCGCAGGCAUCUUAAUUCUAUUCCACGAAGCGGACACCCGGUCAGAUCGUCGAUCAAUAUUAUCGUUGCGAUUGCUCGACAAGAACUUAUGGAGCUAAGAACGGGAUUAAUAAUAUAUAAUCGUCAGUUUGAGAGAUACGUUCCAAACCGAUUGUUUCUCUGGGUGUAGCGGAUGUAAUAUUUCUGGCCUCUAUCGCCAAAUAGACCGUUCUGCUUUUAGUCGAUUUUUGUUUCAAACAUUUACAAGGGGUCUGCUCGAAACGAAUUGCGCGUUAAGUACUUUAACAGCGGGCGAAAUCCAUUCCGACUAAUUGCAUUAUCUGCGGCGAUAUAUAUGGAUUAACACAGUUAGCAGCGUUAAAUACAGACUGCAGUUAUUUUAUUCGAAAUCGACGGCGGUAGCGCAUUUUCACGUAUCAUGUCUUUAAUUAAAUAAUGAACUCGUUAAUCUCAGUUACAGCGAUGAAAAUUUUAAUAGAAUUUUUCAUGAAUCUCGUGAAAGAAAACAAAGCAACAACUGAUUUAAUAACACAAUUGAUUUCAUAGAAAUUUUGAUAAAAUAUAAUGUUUACAGUUUUAAUGCGUCUGCAUUAAUCUUAUACGAAAUAUUAUAAAAUUCUUGUAGAAGUAUUAAUAUCACAAAUAUAAUAUCGUUAUUGCUCUAUUGUUACUGUUGGUAACAUGGAAAUAGAUUAAUUAUUAGUCGUUGUUAUAAAAUUAUCGAAUGUUUACUGCAAACGUUCAUACAAAUGUGAAUAAUUUGUAUGUAUAUUUGCACUAGUAACUCAAAAUUCUUAUAAAAAUAUCAUUUUGCAGUUAAUAAUAAUUUAAUAGUAUUUAUCAUCGAUGAUAAAAUAUACGUACAAGGAGAUUAUUAUAUUUCGACAUAUUAUAUUUCGAGUAUAAAUAUCAGGCUCAAUCAUAUCCAAAUGGCAAUAUAUUUUCUCCAACAAUUCCUCUAAUAAUGCGUUCUUUUUUUUAAAUUGAUUGAGAUUCGUUACGGUCUCUGCAUUCGUUUUAUAGUAUUCGGUCGAUAAUAAUUCAGGUUGGCCGAGGCGAACUGAAGUAGGUACGCCAAGUGAAGUACGGUCAAGUUUGCGCCGUAAAAAUCGGCGACGUGACACGCCAAUUGUUUUGAUUUCCACGUUUCUUCGUGGCACGUCGCAGUUUUACCAAUGCAAUCUCCCGCAGUAGCCUCCGUCGUCGUAUUCAGCUGAUGCCGCAGGCCUCGUCCAACUUCCGAGCCAGCGGACCGCGAUGUUGCCUACGUCGCGUCCCGCCAAUUAUUCAAAUUCCGAAGAUUUCCGCCUCGCCGGUGGAAGACGGCAAAUAUUGACGAAAAAUAUCAAGCGUUCCCUGCCAGCCUGCCGUCGCUCGCGACGGACGGCGGCGUCUCGUCCGUUUCACUGUGGAAACGAGGAUCAGCACGUCGCGCAUCCCUCGAUCCACACACACACACACACACACAGAGAAAGAGAGAGAGAGAGAGAGAAAGGGAAGGAGGGAGAGAGAGACGAAUCCCCGGCCGAUAAGAGUCCCCCGUGGGCGACGGCGGCGUCAGAAUACGCGUUCGAAAUUCCAACCAGAGGCUUCUGCUCCUGUCUGUCCGCUUACCCGCUCACCCGUUCACCCGCCUACCGAUUUCCUUAUUAUCGAGGGAUUCGCGACACGUGUGGCGCAACGUUAGCGCGGUGCGAUGCGGUGCGACGCGACCGCAACCGCGUAUGCACAUUGCACACGAUCGGGAAACGAGACACGGGGGUGAGCUCGUGGGAACGUAGUCGCAUGCGGUUCGAUCACUCCGCAGUGGACGUGCUGCUAUCGGCCUCGUCGUCCACCGCGCGUCGCAUCGUCAUGGCCGUUUUGCAUUCGGCUGGUGCGACGUGGCGCGGCUUAAUAGCCCAGCGCUCGACUUUAUUCUCAUGAGGCUCGCGCGCGUUCCCUCACACGCGAUAUCUCUCGCGUUAUACCUACUACACGCUCCUCUCCACCCGCCUCACCCCCUUCGUCGACGUGAAAGCGCCCCCGAUGACUUUUAACGAGGCAUCUAUAUGGCGAAUCGGGGCCGAGGCCAGGAUGAAUCGGACGCUCAUGGCUAAUUUUAGGAGCUUCGUGUCGCUACCGGCUUUAGGCAAUGCGAUCCUGCGCAAAAUCGAUAAGCGUUCAUUACAGGAAAAGCACGGAGGGAAGCGAGUUAUCGCGCGCGCGUGUGUGUGUUUACAUGUGUCUUGAAAAUACAGUCUCCAACUUUUCGACGAUCGUAUCAUAUUUUCGUACUUGCAAUAGCUAUAUCGUAAACCAAAAAUCCAAGUUUCUUUUUGAUAAAGAAGAAAGCUGCCAAAAGAGAAUCUUCGUCGUCGAAUCGCGACUUAAAAAAAA